CAGUCGCCACGGGAAUACAGAGGGUGCAAGCGUUAAUCGGAAUUACUGGGCGUAAAGCGCGCGUAGGUGGUUCGCCAAGUUGGAUGUGAAAUCCCCGGGCUCAACCUGGGAACUGCAUCCAAAACUGGCGAGCUAGAGUAUGGUAGAGGGUGGUGGAAUUUCCUGUGUAGCGGUGAAAUGCGUAGAUAUAGGAAGGAACAUCAGUGGCGAAGGCGACCACCUGGACUGAUACUGACACUGAGGUGCGAAAGCGUGGGGAGCAAACAGGAUUAGAUACCCCCGUAGUCCCUGUCUCUUAUAC
rnacentral:rRNA from 1 species